CUGAGACAGGGCUAAAUUCCAUGACCCUGGGAUCAUGACAUGAGCCAAAAUCAAGAGUCAGACAUUCAACCAACUGAGCCACCCAGGCACCCCCGGAAAAAUGGUCUUACAAAUCAGUCGAAGCUGUGAAUGUACAAAGUGGCCACUCCAGGAAUUAGCAAACAUAUGACCAUGGCAGCAAUUGCAGGGACAAUAUCCAACCAUCUAUGAGGGAAACCCACGAGGCUUCAAGAUUUAAAGUCAGUCAGCUCAACAGACCAUGACAAGACUUGAAUCUUCUUGAUAAAUACAAAAACACAUUAAGAAGCUGUUUGAUGGGGCUGUGUCGGGAAUGGCUUUGAGUGAAACUUUGAUUAUCUAAGGCAUCUAAUUCCUAAACAAAUAAAAAUAUCUUUUAUGUUUCUCAAUAUUUUGAAAUAUUGUAAUUAUAAAGAUAGCUUAGGAACAUGGUGAAAGAUAUUUUCAGAGUCAUGUAGCCAUAUCUUUAAUUACUGGUAUUCUGUAUAACACUAUGUAUCACUAUCUAAUGAUUUGAUGUUAUGCAAGUUUUGGUAUCAUUAUUUUUCUACAAGAUUGGAUAACCAGUAUGUGACUUUUGAUCUUAACAAAUAAUUUAAAUAACUUUUCUAUAAUAUCGUAUAAUAAUGCUUACAAAAUCACACAUGAUGUAUUAUGGAUGAGGCAACACACAUUUUGAGGCAACGUACAUUUUGCUGUAAAUUCUUAUUAAUAUAAUAGAAGUCACAGUAAUUUGAAAUAAAAAUUAAUAUCUCUACCCAAAGAUAAUUAAUAAGAUUUUUUUACUUAUAAUAAUUAAUUUUGUAUGUCUUUCAAAGUACAGUUAUUUCAGUUCAGAUAAAAUGGCCAAAAAGGUAGUUUAAUCACAUAAUUAAGUAAAGAAUGGGGUUUGUGAAUCAAGCAAUAUGAGCUAACAAGAAUCUAAACUAUUUUGUGACCCGCCUCCCCAUCUUGCCUCUCUGGAGAUUUCAGAUAACGUCUGUCUGCUAAAUUUGUACUGGAGAUCCUCACAAUCAGAUGACAUAAGGAAUAUUCUAAGUAAUGUGAAUUAUCUUUGUCACCACAGAUUCUAUCUGCUUCUAGAACAUAUAGACACUAGAAUAGACUGAUCAUGGCAAAUUCAGCUAUGGAAUGGCCAAAAAAACAAAGAAACAAAAAAUCUUCCACACAGAAAUAAAACCAUACUGAAACCGAAAUAAAACUGAAAAAGAAAGUAACAUUCGAUUUUGAAAAAACUAUUGAGCAUUUCCUCUUAGGUAGUCAUUGCGUUUACAAGGCCACCAGAGUGCUACUGGCUCCAUUAUCUUAAUUUUCUCAUAGCAAUGAUUCAUUCACAUUUCCUUGUUCAAUCCUCUUAGAUGAGUGGCAUGAGCCAGAGAGAUGCCCUGAAGUGUGAUUAGGAAAACUUUAGCCCACAAAACAUAGUUAUACAUUUCUUGAAGGAUUGAACUCAUGUCUUCUGGUCUCCUUAAUAUCAGGUUCCAAAGAACCUUCAUAACUGGCCAAAUAUUACCAUUCUACAAAGUUAAUUAAACUAUUAUAUCCUUCAAGACUUUAAAAGGACUCUUUAUGGCUUCAACCCUCAAAGUCCUCUGUAUUUAAUAACAAAUUUUAAGAACAUUGGGUGCACGGAAAUUCCCAUUUAAUUCUGACAAGUGAUACACUUCAUUCUAGGUUCGUGCCAGAUAAAAGGCAGAUCACAAUAAGAAAUGUUUUUCUUUCAGAGGAAAAUACUUAUGCUAGGCAAUCUCUCGUUGGUGAGCCUUUAUUUUCUUUACUUCUUUUUUAAAAAAUUUUUAAAUGUUUAUUUAUUUUUGAGAGGUAGAGACAGAGCGAGAGCAGGGGAGGGGCAGA